rnacentral:rRNA from 1 species
UAAGCACGAAACUUGCCCCGAGAUGAGUUCUCCCUGAGACUUUAAGUCUCCUGAAGGAACGUUAAAGACGAUGACGUUGAUAGGCCGGGUGUGUAAGCGCAGCGAUGCGUUGAGCUAACCGGUACUAAUGAACCGUGAGGCUUAACCUUACAACGCCGAAG